UACGUAGGGUGCAAGCGUUGUCCGGAAUUAUUGGGCGUAAAGAGCUCGUAGGCGGCUUGUCGCGUCGACUGUGAAAACCCGCGGCUCAACGCGGCCUGCAGCCGAUACGGGCAGGCUAGAGUUCGGUAGGGAGACUGGAAUUCUGGUGUAGCGGUGAAAUGCGCAGAUAUCAGGAGGAACACCGGUGGCGAAGGCGGGUCUCUGGGCCGAUACUGACGCUGAGGAGCGAAAGCGUGGGGAGCGAACAGG
rnacentral:rRNA from 1 species